rfam:Ictidomys tridecemlineatus contig071188, whole genome shotgun sequence.
GGGGUUGUGGCUCAGUGGUAGAGCGCUUGCCUGGCAUGCAUGGGGUACUAGGUUCCAUCCUCAGCACCA